GAUGAACGCUGGCGGCGUGCCUAACACAUGCAAGUCGAGCGAGGGUUUGCUCAGUAUUGAGUAUUCUAAGAUUAGAAUGUUCAAUUCUGAGCAAAACCAAGCGGCGGACGGGUGAGUAACGCGUGGGUAACCUGCCCUAUACACAUGGAUAACAUACUGAAAAGUUUACUAAUACAUGAUAAUAUAUAUUUGCGGCAUCGCAGAUAUAUCAAAGUGUUAGCGGUAUAGGAUGGACCCGCGUCUGAUUAGCUAGUUGGUGAGAUAACUGCCCACCAAGGCGACGAUCAGUAGCCGACCUGAGAGGGUGAUCGGCCACAUUGGAACUGAGACACGGUCCAAACUCCUACGGGAGGCAGCAGUGGGGAAUAUUGCACAAUGGGCGAAAGCCUGAUGCAGCAACGCCGCGUGAACGAUGAAGGUCUUCGGAUCGUAAAGUUCUGUUGCAGGGGAAGAU
rnacentral:rRNA from 1 species